rnacentral:rRNA from 1 species
CGGUGUAGGAUGAGACUAUAUUGUAUCAGCUAGUUGGUGAGGUAAUGGCUCACCAAGGCUAUGACGCAUAACUGGUCUGAGAGGAUGAUCAGUCACACUGGAACUGAGACACGGUCCAGACUCCUACGGGAGGCAGCAGUAGGGAAUAUUGCUCAAUGGGCGAAAGCCUGAAGCAGCAACGCCGCGUGGAGGAUGACACUUUUCGGAGCGUAAACUCCUUUUGUUGGGGAAGAAAUUUGACGGUACCCAACGAAUAAGCACCGGCUAACUCCGUGCCAGCAGCCGCGGUAAUACGGAGGGUGCAAGCGUUACUCGGAAUCACUGGGCGUAAAGGACGCGUAGGCGGAUUAUCAAGUCUUUUGUGAAAUCUAAUGGCUUAACCAUUAAACUGCUUGAGAAACUGAUAAUCUAGAGUGAGGGAGAGGCAGAUGGAAUUGGUGGUGUAGGGGUAAAAUCCGUAGAGAUCACCAAGAAUACCCAUUGCGAAGGCGAUCUGCUAGAACUCAACUGACGCUAAUGCGUGAAAGCGUGGGGAGCAAACAGGAUUAGAUACCCUGGUAGUCCACGCCCUAAACGAUGUAUACUAGUUGUUGCUCUGCUAGUCAGGGCAGUAAUGCACCUAACGGAUUAAGUAUACCGCCUGGGGAGUACGGUCGCAAGAUUAAAACUCAAAGGAAUAGACGGGGACCCGCACAAGCGGUGGAGCAUGUGGUUUAAUUCGAAGAUACGCGAAGAACCUUACCUGGGCUUGAUAUCCUAAGAACCUCUUAGAGAUAAGAGGGUGCUAGCUUGCUAGAACUUAGAGACAGGUGCUGCACGGCUGUCGUCAGCUCGUGUCGUGAGAUGUUCGGUUAAGUCCGGCAACGAGCGCAACCCACGUAUUUAGUUGCUAACAGUUUGGCUGAGCACUCUAAAUAUACUGCCUUCGUAAGGAGGAGGAAGGUGUGGACGACGUCAAGUCAUCAUGGCCCUUAUGCCCAGGGCGACACACGUGCUACAAUGGCAUAUACAAUGAGACGCAAUAUCGCGAGAUGGAGCAAAUCUAUAAAAUAUGUCCCAGUUCGGAUUGUUCUCUGCAACUCGAGAGCAUGAAGCCGGAAUCGCUAGUAAUCGUAGAUCAGCCAUGCUACGGUGAAUACGUUCCCGGGUCUUGUACUCACCGCCCGUCACACCAUGGGAGUUGAUUUCACUCGAAGCGGGGAUGCUAAACUAGCUACCCUCCACAGUGGAAUCAGCGACUGGGGUGAAGUCGUAACAAGGUAACCGUAGGAGAACCUGCGGUUGGAUCACCUCCUU